rnacentral:sRNA from 1 species
GUUUACUUCCUCGUUUAAACUUAAUGAAAAUAGUCGUUGUCAACAUCAAAAAUUAUUUAUUGUCAGUUAAAAAUUCAUAUUUAGAAGCUUUUUUGGUUCAUUGGUUGACCGAAGGUUCAUUAAUGCUUUUGUACACUAAAAAAGUCUGGGGUUCGAGUCCCAGAUACUGUGAUUUAUUAGCAGAUUUGCAGAUUGGUAGAGACAAGUGUGCAGGAGAUCUUCAACAAUGUGCAAUUAUAUCCAUUCGGCUAUGUAACAAUUCUCAUAAUUUGCAAUAAAUAAUAAAUUUAAGACGGUAAAAAAAAUUAUAUUUU